UACGUAGGUGGCAAGCGUUAUCCGGAAUUAUUGGGCGUAAAGGGUGCGUAGGCGGUUUAUUAAGUCUAUGGUGAAAGUGCGGGGCUCAACCCCGUAUGGCCAUAGAAACUAGUAGACUUGAGUGCAGGAGAGGGCAAUGGAAUUCCACGUGUAGCGGUAAAAUGCGUAGAUAUGUGGAGGAACACCAGUGGCGAAGGCGGUUGCCUGGCCUGUAACUGACGCUGAGGCUCGAAAGCGUGGGGAGCGAACAGG
rnacentral:rRNA from 1 species